GCCUGGGUGGCUCAGUCGGUUGAGCAUCUGACUUUGGCUCAGGUCAUGAUCUCGCGGUUUGUGAGUUCAAGCCCCGCGUCGGGCU
rnacentral:tRNA from 1 species